UCAAUCCCCACACGGGGCUCAAUCUCACGAUCCUGAGAUCAUGACCUGAGCUGAAAAUCAAGAGUUGGAUGCCUAACCGACUGAGCCAUCCAGGCACCCUUUUGGAUUUCUAGAAGUCUGACCUGUGGUUGGAGCUGCAAAGAGGAUGACAAGAGUUCCUUUGUCUUUCCAGACUAGUCCCAGCUGUGGAAGGGCUCCUUAUGCUGCCCUUACCAUCUCCCCCACCACCUCGUUGGGACCAUAUCCUGCCUGCUCUGUUCUCACAGCUUUGUGCCACAUCCGUAUCUUUCUCAUGCCUCCAGAAUCCACUGAACAGCUGUGCAGAUUGCUCAUUGCACAACCCUCGGGGCACCAUUCACAGAGGCAAUGAGAGCUUCAGGAUAGGAACUGCAGGCUGGUGGAAUCAAUCACGUGAUCAGAAGUUUGGAAUUUUCAGCCCAAUCCCCAGGCCUCCAGGGACUUGAAGAUCUUCCAAGUUGGUGAAUAUAUCCUGGUGCUGCACCUCAACUCCACAGGGACAGAAAGUCCUGUACUAGAGCUCCUUCUGGUCCUCACUCUGUGUUCCUCUACACUUGGCUUUUCAUCUGGAUUCUUUGUAAUAUCCUUUAUACUAGACCAGUAAACAGAAGUAGUUUUUUUUCUCCCUGAGUUAUGUGAGCUGUUCAAGCGAACUAUGGAACCCAAGAAGGGGUAUGUGGGAACUCCUGAUGCAUAGUUGACUGGUCAGAAGUAUGGGAGACCUGGACUUGUGAUUGGCAUCUGAAGUGGGGGACAGUCUAGCCUGUGGUGUCUGGGCUAAGUCUGGGGAGUUGGGGUCAGAGGACACCCAGUUGGUGUUCACAGAGAAUUAGGGAAUUGGUUGGUAUGGGAAAAACAGCCCCACAUGUUUGAUGUCAGAAGUGCUGUAAGUAGAGAAACCGUUUUUUCUUUGUGUGUAUAAGAACUCCAGGAUUAGGAGUUGGCAGCCUCGUCACUUCGUCGGCCAAUUGUGCUAUUUGCCUUGUGGCUGGACAGUAAUGAGUGGGUGUUACUUUGGCCCUACACAAAGUCCAGCUCCCCAUUUAGCAAUUCACUUUGCCAUUUCAACAUUAAGGAAUAGUCUUCAAAGGAAUCAAUAAUCUCAUUAGAAUUGGAAAGUAUUGAUUUUCCAAUUCUGUCAAUACUUUCAUGUUUAAUAGCUGACAUUUUUCUGGAAGGUAGAGCUUUCUCUCAUCAACUGAAAAUACAGUUCCUGCUGGAAAAGUAGAAUAAAUGCUAAUACUUUUAUUUUACAUGACUAAUUUUCAAAGUAAGGGGCUGGUUUUAUAGUCACGCCAAUUAAUAACAAAUGAGUGUUUUUUCCAUAUUAGCUUGGAUUUCUCUUCUUUGACUACCAUCAUGGAUUUGUGGACUUUUACUGAUUCAUGUGUUUCAAGCAACUAUAUUCAUAAUGUUUUAAUGCUCUCAUGCAUUUUUCACAACUAUUUUGAGGUAUAAUUGACUUAUGGUAAACUACACAUGUGUAUACAGUGUACAAUUUGAUGAGUUUUGACAUAUGCAUAUAUCAAUGAAACCAUCACCAAAUAAAGAUAAUGGAUACUUUCAUCGCCCCCAUAAGUUUUACUCUGUGCUUUCUAAUUCACCCUUAUUUCCACCCUGUUCCCUGGACAACCACUGUCCAUACACAGUGUCCAAUACACUGUC